AAUCAUAAUAUUCUGUAUCUCAACUGAGAAACAACGUCUGUGUGAGAGCUAAAAAAAAAGAAAAUAAUUUAGUGAAAAUAAAAAAAAAAAACAAAAAUGAAUAAUUUUUUAUCAAUUUUUUCGGACAAACCGGUAGCAGAACUCUCUGAGCCUCUUAAGGAGGAUUCGGCCGUAUGUUCGUUGCCACGUUGUGAACAUGAGCUCAAGUUGCGAGUGAUUAGUAUUGCUGCAGUUGUAUUACUUUUUCUAUAUGUGCUAUAUAAAUUUUUGCGUUCUCCGAUCCCGAAUUGGGAAGAAAGGAUUGUAGACGAUUUGCAAAAUACUACAGAUACAGGACACGCAAACUACAAUAGAACAGGAAAAGUAUCAGUUAAACACUUUAGCAAGUUCGAAGAUAUGAUUUUAAUGUGCAACAAGCGCACUAUCUCAACACAAACCGUGUUAUCCACAAAUGGCCAUGUUAUGACUAUGUGUGUUUAUAACGAGGAGGACAUAAUAAUAACUGAAAGGGCAAUCAUUUAGGAAACAGGAUCACUCAUUAAAGGCAAAUCUAUGUAGGGUUCAAGAAGAUAACACAAUCCACCACAAUGAAGAAUUUCCAGGCAAAUCUAUGUAGGGUUCAAGAAGAUUCCACAAUCCACCACAAUGAAGAAUUUCCAGGCAAAUCUAUGUAGGGUUCAAGAAGAUAACACAAUCCACCACAAUGAAGAAUUUCCAGGCAAAUCUAUGUAGGGUUCAAGAAGAUAACACAAUCCACCACAAUGAAGAAUUUCCAGGCAAAUCUAUGUAGGGUUCAAGAAGAUUCCACAAUCCACCACAAUGAAGAAUUUCCAGGCAAAUCUAUGUAGGGUUCAAGAAGAUUCCACAAUCCACCACAAUGAAGAAUUUCCAGGCAAAUCUAUGUAGGGUUCAAGAAGAUUCCACAAUCCACCACAAUGAAGAAUUUCCAGGCAAAUCUAUGUAGGGUUCAAGAAGAUUCCACAAUCCACCACAAUGAAGAAUUUCCAGGCAAAUCUAUGUAGGGUUCAAGAAGAUAACACAAUCCACCACAAUGAAGAAUUUCCAGGCAAAUCUAUGUAGGGUUCAAGAAGAUUCCACAAUCCACCACAAUGAAGAAUUUCCAGGCAAAUCUAUGUAGGGUUCAAGAAGAUAACACAAUCCACCACAAUGAAGAAUUUCCAGGCAAAUCUAUGUAGGGUUCAAGAAGAUAACACAAUCCACCACAAUGAAGAAUUUCCAGGCAAAUCUAUGUAGGGUUCAAGAAGAUAACACAAUCCACCACAAUGAAGAAUUUCCAGGCAAAUCUAUGUAGGGUUCAAGAAGAUUCCACAAUCCACCACAAUGAAGAAUUUCCAGGCAAAUCUAUGUAGGGUUCAAGAAGAUAACACAAUCCACCACAAUGAAAAACUCCGAGGG